UAAAAUAAAAGUAACUAGAGCUGUAGCGAACCGUAUGUAUUCGUUACUGAGUAACGGGUGCGCCAUCUAGUACCGAGUACCGAAUCGUUACUCACAAAUGCAUCUCGUUACUCGCACUUUUCGUCGUAUGACCGUUCCUAUGGUUCCUACACUGUUUCGGUUCACGCAAGUACCGUAGAUACGUGUAUUGAAACGUUUGCUAACCGUAUGUUUUACGCGCAGGCGCGCUCAUUCGGUGAAUUUAAAAACGUACGUUACAAAGGCCGAUGUUUGUUUAGUUUAUUGUUAAAAUUUUAAAAACGUAUGAUUCUGUUAUGGUAUCGUUCAAAUAACCAUAUGAGCUUAUAAUAAGACAGUUAUUUGGAAAUUACAGAAAGAUACUCUAAUUUUAUUUAAUAGUAUAGAUAUUUAACAUAAGC